UUGUCUCGAACCUUGCCACAGUGCUCAACGACAUCACCCAAUGCCUCCAAAACUAGGUUUUUUCCACCCUUUUCACUACGCCAUACGUUUGAAAACGGUCGCUCUUGUUGUCACCAAUGAUCACAUAGAGGUGUUGAGGGUGGAGUUGUGCAUGAUGAUGCGAUGGUUGGUGAUGGCUAGGUCGUUGUUGUUGCGAGCACAUAGAGGUGGAUCUCAGUGGUGAUGGUGUGCACGGGCGGUGAAUGAGCUUGGACAUGAGUCACGGCUUCUUUGUUG
rnacentral:lncRNA from 1 species